AGCGAACGCUGGCGGCAGGCCUAACACAUGCAAGUCGAACGAACCCUUCGGGGUCAGUGGCGGACGGGUGAGUAACACGUGGGAACGUGCCUUUAGGUUCGGAAUAACUCAGGGAAACUUGUGCUAAUACCGAAUGUGCCCUUCGGGGGGAAAGAUUUAUCGCCUUUAGAGCGGCCCGCGUCUGAUUAGCUAGUUGGUGAGGUAAUGGCUCACCAAGGCUACGAUCAGUAGCUGGUCUGAGAGGAUGACCAGCCACAUUGGGACUGAGACACGGCCCAAACUCCUGCGGGAGGCAGCAGUGGGGAAUCUUGCGCAAUGGGCGAAAGCCUGACGCAGCCAUGCCGCGUGGAUGAUGAAGGUCUUAGGAUUGUAAAAUCCUUUCACCGGUGAAGAUAAUGACUGUAGCCGGAGAAGAAGCCCCGGCUAACUUCGUGCCAGCCGCCGCAGUAAGAC
rnacentral:rRNA from 1 species